AUUGCCUUAGUACGGCGAGUGAAGCGGCAAAAGCUCAAAUUUGAAAUCUAGCACUUUCAGUGUUCGAGUUGUAAUUUGAAGAAGGUAACUUUGGAAUUGGCUCUUGUCUAUGUUCCUUGGAACAGGACGUCACAGAGGGUGAGAAUCCCGUGCGAUGAGAUGUCCAAUUCUAUGUAAAGUGCUUUCGAAGAGUCGAGUUGUUUGGGAAUGCAGCUCUAAGUGGGUGGUAAAUUCCAUCUAAAGCUAAAUAUUGGCGAGAGACCGAUAGCGAACAAGUACAGUGAUGGAAAGAUGAAAAGAACUUUGAAAAGAGAGUGAAAAAGUACGUGAAAUUGUUGAAAGGGAAGGGCUUGAGAUCAGACUUGGUAUUUUGUGUUCCUUAUUCUUUUUGGAUUUGGUUCCUCACAGCUUACCGGGCCAGCAUCGGUUUGGAUGGUAGGAUAAUGACAUUGGAAUGUAGCUUUGCUUCGGUGAAGUGUUAUAGACUUUGUUGAUACUGCCUAUCUAGACCGAGGACUGCGUCUUUGACUAGGAUGCUGGCGUAAUGAUCUUAAGCCGCCCGUCUUGAAACACGGACCA
rnacentral:rRNA from 1 species